rnacentral:rRNA from 1 species
UACGUAGGGGGGCUAGCGUUGUCCGGAAUCAUUGGGCGUAAAGCGCGUGUAGGCGGUCCGGUAAGUCCGCUGUGAAAGCCAGGGGCUCAACCCUUGGAUGCCGGUGGAUACUGUCGGGCUUGAGUACGGAAGAGGCGAGUGGAAUUCCUGGUGUAGCGGUGAAAUGCGCAGAUAUCAGGAGGAACACCAAUUGCGAAGGCAGCUCGCUGGGACGGUACUGACGCUGAGGCGCGAAAGCGUGGGGAGCAAACAGG